UAGUCAUGUUAGCUUGGAGUUAAAAUAUGACACACAUUAAAAGUGUUGAACAGAGAGAGCUCGAGAGCUGAUCCCAGGGAAAAUAACGAUAAAAAUGAAUAACGGUACAUGUUAAGUUCGUCUUCGGUAAGCAGCCUCUUAGGGGGGAGCUGAAGCCGGACUGUAUCGAGGGAAAGCCGGGAAGGCAAAACCUGGGGGUAUUUUAUCAAAACCCUUUGUACUGUUUAUGUGAGGUGGGAGGAACCUAGAGAACUCAGAUGAACUCUACAUGAGCAUGGAGAGAAGAUAUGAAGCUCCACACCGACACUAACCCGAGCCGGAGCCGAGAAAGACGCAGCUACCGAUGCUUCAAUUUUAAAAUUGAAGAAACAUCUGCCACACAGACAGUUUUUUCUUCUGAUCUCAGCUGCUGUCAAAGUUUUCUCCCUCGUCCUCAUUUAGCAGGAUUCAUCCUUCCCUCUGUCGCCCUCAGCGCUCAUUAAACACCCGAGCUGCUGCUUUCGACCGUGUUUACAGUCGCAAACUGUGUAAGAAUUAAAACUUCCAGAGACAUCUGAGAGACACAUCUACAGAUACAGAACCAAGUUUGCUGGAACAUUAUUUUAGAAUACAUUAUUUAAAACUGAGACAAAAGCAGAAAUCAUCAUAUUUGAAUAUCCUUCCACGAGCUGUUUGGUUGGAUUUGUUCACAUCCUGACAGAAGAAGAUAAAAACAGCAGCCAGAGGUUAGAUGAAUAUAUUUAAACACUGACUAUAACUGCGACUAUGCUAAGCUAUGCAAAUAUUUCUGCACCAGUGUGUGGAAUAUUUCUGCCUCUGUUACAGAGAACUGACUUUAUCUCUAAAGUGUGAUGGACAGGGUGACAUGAAACACUCCAGAGCUCCAGAUUCUUGCUCAUCGUCGUCUGUUAGUGAACAAAAUAAGUCUUUAAUUUUUUUUACACUCUUGGCUGUUUUUGGAUGUUAAUUGUUUUUUUUAGUCAAUAAGUGAUUAAUCUCCGAACUCUCGGGCUUCAUCACCGAACAUUUGGUGACUUCAGCAUGAAGGAAUUUAAAUGAAAUCUAUGACGCUGAUGCG